GGGGGAAGUGGUAGCCUACAUCUCUGAGGGAGUCAGGGCUGGGGCUUGUGUUAGACAUCAGAAAGUAAAACCACAGUGCGUCAUACGUGUUAAAUCUACGAUGGAACAGCACUUGGCUGAUUUGUUAACGGAUGCAUUUUCAGACAUAUCCCUCCCAUCUUUCCCUGAAGGAGGGUUAGACUUUGAGCCUCUUGAUUUUGACGAAGCCAAGACAGAAAUGUCCUCUGGAAGAUUACCAGUGCUGAGAGAGGAAGAGGAAGAUGAGGAUGAAGGACAGGAAGAGGAAGAGCCUGGUGGAGAAACUGUAUCUGACCAUAUCUCAGUGAAGACAUGUGAUUUGAGUUUGACUGAAGAGGAUACACAACAUAUUG